UCCGAGAAGUAGAAGCGCCAAAGGUCACGUGGGCGAUGACGUACUUGAUGACGCACUUCCGGACGAUGACCCGCUCGACUACCUUGCAAAGUACUGCAUUGUUCGGCCGAACCGUUUGCCGACGUACGAGGCCGUCUUCACCUGGUACGCGAAAGGACCACAGGAAGAUGAUGAGGUCUCCGCAGGACGGACCGCCUUUAACCAAUCUAAGAAAUUGAGAUCUUCGUCUUCAAGUUUAAAAAGCGAC